rnacentral:lncRNA from 1 species
AAAGAACUCUAGAUUCGUUAACUGGACGAGGAAGAAUUUCCUUAUUUCGCUUGCGAUUUAAGGCAAAAUUAAAAUUAAAAAAUUUGGUCAAUUAGGGGCAUUAAUUGGAGCAAUUGAUGACAUACCAGUAGUCGUAUGAUGCUGCUAAUGAUUCUUGUCUUGCCAAUUUUAUAAAAAAACCAUUCCCAAAUCCAUUAAUUGAAGGAGACGAAAUUGCCUUGUUUUGCC